rnacentral:rRNA from 1 species
AUUGAACGCUGGCGGCAGGCCUAACACAUGCAAGUCGAGCGGAUGAAGGGAGCUUGCUCCUGGCUUCAGCGGCGGACGGGUGAGUAAUGCCUAGGAAUCUGCCUGGUAGUGGGGGAUAACGUCCGGAAACGGGCGCUAAUACCGCAUACGUCCUGAGGGAGAAAGUGGGGGAUCUUCGGACCUUACGCUAUCAGAUGAGCCUAGGUCGGAUUAGCUAGUUGGUGGGGUAAAGGCCUACCAAGGCGACGAUCCGUAACUGGUCUGAGAGGAUGAUCAGUCACACUGGAACUGAGACACGGUCCAGACUCCUACGGGAGGCAGCAGUGGGGAAUAUUGGACAAUGGGCGAAAGCCUGAUCCAGCCAUGCCGCGUGUGUGAAGAAGGUCUUCGGAUUGUAAAGCACUUUAAGUUGGGAGGAAGGGCAGUAAGUUAAUACCUUGCUGUUUUGACGUUACCAACAGAAUAAGCACCGGCUAACUUCGUG